rnacentral:misc_RNA from 1 species
GAUGAAGAACGUAGCGAAAUGCGAUAAGUAAUGCGAAUUGCAGAAUUUCCGUGAGUCAUCGAAUCUUUGAACGCACAUUGCGCCCACUGGUAUUCCGGUGGGCAUGUCUGUUCGAGCGUCAUUAUCCUCCCUCAAACCUCGGGUUUGGUGUUGGACCCAAGUUGUGUGAACAACUGGUCUUAAAGACAAUGACGGCGUCCGUGGGACCCUCGGUGCAACGAGCUUUUAGGAGCACGCGUCGAGUUUCAAGGACCUUCCGGGCCGGUCUCCUUUACCAUUUUACAAGGUUGACCUCGGAUCAGGUAGGAAUACCCGCUGAACUUAAGCAUAUCAAUAAGCGGAGGA